GAUGAACGCUGGCGGCGUGCCUAAUACAUGCAAGUCGAGCGAACGGACGAGAAGUUUGCUUCUCUGAUGUUAGCGGCGGACGGGUGAGUAACACGUGGAUAACCUACCUAUAAGACUGGGAUAAUUUCGGGAAACCGGAGCUAAUACCGGAUGAUAUUUUGAACCGCAUGGUUCAAAAGUGAAAGACGGUCUUGCUGUCACUUAUAGAUGGAUCCGCGCUGCAUUAGCUAGUUGGUAAGGUAACGGCUUACCAAGGCAACGAUGCAUAGCCGACCUGAGAGGGUGAUCGGCCACACUGGAACUGAGAAACGGUACAGACUCCUACAGGAAGCAGCAGUAGGGAAUCUUACGCAAUGGAGGAAAGCCUGACGGAGCAACGCCGGGUGAGUGAUGAAGGUCUUCGGAUCGUAAAACUCUGUUAUUAGGGAAGAACAUAUGUUUAAGUAACUGUGCACAUCUUGACGGUACCUAAUCAGAAAGCCACGGCUAACUACGUG
rnacentral:rRNA from 1 species